GACGAACGCUGGCGGCGUGCUUAACACAUGCAAGUCGAACGGAAAGGCCCUGCUUUUGUGGGGUGCUCGAGUGGCGAACGGGUGAGUAACACGUGUGUAACCUGCCCUUGACUUUGGGAUAACUUCAGGAAACUGGGGCUAAUACCGGAUAGGAGCUCCUGCUGCAUGGUGGGGGUUGGAAAGUUUCGGCGGUUGGGGAUGGACUCGCGGCUUAUCAGCUUGUUGGUGGGGUAGUGGCUUACCAAGGCUUUGACGGGUAGCCGGCCUGAGGGGGUGACCGGCCACAUUGGGACUGAGAUACGGCACAGACUCCAACGGGAGGCAGCAGUGGGGAAUAGUGCACAAUGGGAGGAAGCCUGAUGCAGCAACGCCGCGUGCGGGAUGACGGCCUUCGGGUUGUAAACCGCUUUCGCCUGUGACGAAGCGUGAGUGACGGUAAUGGGUAAAGAAGCACCGGCUAACUACGUG
rnacentral:rRNA from 1 species